rnacentral:rRNA from 1 species
GACGAACGCUGGCGGCGUGCUUAACACAUGCAAGUCGAACGGAAAGGCCCUGCUUGCAGGGUACUCGAGUGGCGAACGGGUGAGUAACACGUGGGUGAUCUGCCCUGCACUUCGGGAUAAGCCUGGGAAACUGGGUCUAAUACCGGAUAGGAGCCAUUUUUAGUGUGAUGGUUGGAAAGUUUUUUCGGUGUAGGAUGAGCUCGCGGCCUAUCAGCUUGUUGGUGGGGUAAUGGCCUACCAAGGCGGCGACGGGUAGCCGGCCUGAGAGGGUGGACUGCCACAUUGGGACUGAGAGACGGCCCAGACUCCUGCGGGAGGCAGCAGUGGGGAAGAUUGCACAAUGGGAGCAAGCCUGAUGCAGCGACGCCGCGUGGGGGAUGACGGCCUUCGGGUUGUAAACUCAUUUCGCUAGGGACGAAGCUUUUUGUGACGGUACCUAGAUAAGAAGCACCGGCUAACUACGUG